rnacentral:rRNA from 1 species
UACGUAGGGAGCGAGCGUUGUCCGGAUUCAUUGGGCGUAAAGAGCUCGUAGGCGGCUUGGCAAGUCGGGUGUGAAAACUCCAGGCUCAACCUGGAGACGCCACCCGAUACUGCCAUGGCUAGAGUCCGGUAGGGGACCACGGAAUUCCUGGUGUAGCGGUGAAAUGCGCAGAUAUCAGGAGGAACACCGGUGGCGAAGGCGGGUCUCUGGGCCGAUACUGACGCUGAGGAGCGAAAGCGUGGGGAGCGAACAGG